ensembl:snoRNA LOC120093453 small nucleolar RNA SNORA17
CCUGCCCCUAGAGCCACUGCAGGUGUGGCUGCUGUGUCACAUGUACUGAUCAGCAGGUGACAGAGGAGAGAGGCUAUGCCUAUGCUCAGUGUUCUAACCUAUGAACAUUGUAAUGAUUAGUAGCAUAGCAUU